UGGGGCCUACGGGGGGCAGCAGUGGGGGAUAUUGCACAAUGGGGGGAACCCUGAUGCAGCGACGCCGCGUGGGUGAAGAAGUAUUUCGGUAUGUAAAGCCCUAUCGGCAGGGAAGAAAUUGGACGGUACCUGACUAAGAAGCCCCGGCUAACUACGUGCCAGCAGCCGCGGUAAUACGUAGGGGGCAAGCGUUAUCCGGAUUUACUGGGUGUAAAGGGAGCGUAGACGGUCCUGCAAGCCAGAUGUGAAAGCCCGGGGCUCAACCCCGGGACUGCAUUUGGAACUGUAAGGCUAGAGUGUCGGAG
rnacentral:rRNA from 1 species